GGCAUUUUAACAUCUUUUAAAACUACCAUUUACACACAUUAAAGAGAGGUUUUAUGGGUGUUAAUGUGGAGUUAGGAAUAGGAAAAAUCUGAAGUGGUCUAAGGAUGCCCUUGGUAGUGACCUUGAGUGGGAGAAUUAAGGGUUAGAAAGGUUUAGGUUUGAUUUUAUUUAAGUGUGUAAUUUUAAGUUAGUUAGGGGG
rnacentral:lncRNA from 1 species